rnacentral:sRNA from 1 species
GCUUCCCGCCAUGCUGAUAAUGGACUGAACCUCUGAAAUGGCUAGCCCUGUCAGUGCUGUCCUUGUACACAAAGAGUAGGCAGCCCCACCUCUGAUCAGCGAGCCUCGACUACACGAAGAGGGAGGACAUGCUACUGAGUCCCGUCAGUCACGUCAGUCAGGCACCACACACAGUCGUGAAGACCACCAUACAGGUGGCGAUGCAGUGGCCUGUGCCUUCCAGUCAUCGCCCGUCCAGGGUCCAGGGCUACAACCUUCUACACUGACUCUCAAGAGUUCCCGGCCUCCUAGGCCAGGGCUGUGCUGUGACAGGUCGGAACUCACAGGCCUCCUACAGGAAAGUGGGGAGGAGCUGGAACUUUCCAGGAAGACUCUGGAAUCUUCACAUUGCAUGAGACCUAAACUCUGCCUGUGUUCCCUGGUCUUCUGUCACUGUUUUGUUCUCUACUAAAAACAAACAAACAAAUAAACAAACAAACCAAACA